rnacentral:rRNA from 1 species
AUUGAACGCUGGCGGCAUGCCUUACACAUGCAAGUCGAACGGCAGCACGGGGCAACCUGGUGGCGAGUGGCGAACGGGUGAGUAAUGCAUCGGAACGUACCUUUCAGUGGGGGAUAACGUAGCGAAAGUUACGCUAAUACCGCAUAUUCUGUGAGCAGGAAAGCAGGGGAUCGCAAGACCUCGCGCUGAUUGAGCGGCCGAUGUCAGAUUAGCUAGUUGGUGAGGUAAAGGCUCACCAAGGCGACGAUCUGUAGCGGGUCUGAGAGGAUGAUCCGCCACACUGGAACUGAGACACGGUCCAGACUCCUACGGGAGGCAGCAGUGGGGAAUUUUAGACAAUGGGGGCAACCCUGAUCCAGCCAUGCCGCGUGAGUGAAGAAGGCCUUCGGGUUGUAAAGCUCUUUCGGCCGGGAAGAAAUCGCACGGGCUAAUACCCUGUGUGGAUGACGGUACCGGAAUAAGAAGCACCGGCUAACUACGUGCCAGCAGCCGCCGUAAAAC